CAAAAAGACGAAUAAUACACACUUGAACUCAAAGUAAUAGGGGAAAGGGUCAAGAACAAUCACUUCUGCUUGUGGAGGAAUACUGCCAACCAGGAUGCCAAACAGCGGAUGACACUUUCCUUUAUGGCAUAAAAUGAGUGGGAUCUUAUAAUCUAUCGUCAGUGUUUCUCGAUCCAUUCUCAGUACACCCCAAGGGAGAUUUCACACUGGCUACAAAGUAAGAAAUGACAACAAUAACAACC
rnacentral:lncRNA from 1 species